AGCACAUACAAAGGUUGUACGAAUGGUGUACAAUUGGUCUAUAAAGGGUGUACAAAUGGUGUACAAAGGGUGUAAAAAGGUUGUACAAAGGGUGUACGAAGAGUGUACAAAGGGUAUACAAAGAGUAUAGAAAAGAUGUACGAAGGGUGUAAAAAAAUGUAGAAAGAUGUAGGAAGGGUGUAGAAAAGGUAUACAAAUAGUGUACAAAGAGUGUAUAAAGGGUGCAUAAAGAGUGCACAAAGAGUGUACAAAGGGUCUUCAACGUGUGUACAAAGGGUGUAUAGAAGGGUAUAAAGGGUGUACAUAAGGUGUUCAAAGAAUGUACUAAGGGUGUACAAAGACUGCAUAAUAGGUGUAGAAAGGGUGUAUAAAGGUGAAUAAAGGGUGUAUAAAGCAUGGACAAAGGGUGCACAAAGGGUGUACAUAAGGUGUUCCAAAAUUUAGAUAGAUAUAAAAAGCGUGUACAAUGAGUGUAUAAAUGGUGUAGAAAUGGUGUAGAAAGGGUGUAUAAA
rnacentral:lncRNA from 1 species